GGCAAACGUGUAGCCAGCAGGCGAGGGAGGGCGGAGGUGGCGGGCGUUGUUCGGAAUCACUGGGCAUAAAGCGAACGUAGGCGGUGUCGUAAGUCGGGUGUGAAAUCCCUCGGCCUAACCGAGGAACUGCGCCCGAUACUGCGAUGCUUGAGGACCAGAGGGGUGCAUGGAAUUUCCGGUGGAGCGGUGAAAUGCGUUGAUAUCGGAAGGAACUCCGGCGGCGAAAGCGAUGCACUGGCUGGUUUCUGACGCUGAGGUGCGAAAGCCAGGGGAGCAAACGGGAUUAGAUACCCCAGAGUC
rnacentral:rRNA from 1 species